UACGUAGGAGGCAAGCGUUGUCCGGAUUUAUUGGGCGUAAAGAGCGUGUAGGCGGCCAGACCGGUCCGUUGUGAAAACUGGAGGCUCAACCUUCAGACGUCGACGGAAACCGUCUGGCUAGAGUCCGGAAGAGGAGAGUGGAAUUCCUGGUGUAGCGGUGAAAUGCGCAGAUAUCAGGAAGAACACCGAUGGCGAAGGCAGCUCUCUGGGACGGUACUGACGCUGAGACGCGAAAGCGUGGGGAGCGAACAGG
rnacentral:rRNA from 1 species